rnacentral:rRNA from 1 species
AUUGCAAAGACAUGCCGCGUGAAGGAUGACGGCCUAUGGGUUGUAACUUCUUUUCUCAGAGAAGAAUUUUUGACGGUAUCUGAGGAAUAAGCAUCGGCUAACUCUGUGCCAGCAGCCGCGGUAAGACAGAGGAUGCAAGCGUUAUCCGGAAUGAUUGGGCGUAAAGCGUCUGUAGGUGGCUUAAAAAGUCUCCUGUCAAAGAUCAGGGCUUAACCCUGGGCCGGCAGGAGAAACUCUUAGGCUAGAGUUUGGUAGGGGCAGAGGGAAUUCCCGGUGGAGCGGUGAAAUGCGUAGAGAUCGGGAGGAACACCAAAGGCGAAGGCACUCUGCUGGGCCAGAACUGACACUGAGAGACGAAAGCGAGGGGAGCAAAAGGGAUUAGAUACCCCUGUAGUCAA